GGGAGACAGGCAGGCAGACAGUUAGACAGAGAGGCAUGUAGGCAAACAGGCAGUUAGACAGAGAGGCAGGCAGGCAAACAGGCAGUUAGACAGAGAGGCAGGCAGGCAAACAGGCAGUUAGACAGAGAGGCAGGCAGGCAAACAGACAGUUAGACAGAGAGGCAGGCAGGCAAACAGGCAGUUAGACAGAGAGGCAUGCAGACAGGCAGGGUGGAAGGCAGGCAAACAGACAGACAGAGAGGUAGGCAGACAGGGAGACAGGCAGGCAGAGAGGAAGACAGACAGGUAGUAGGGUAGCAGGCGGACAGGCAGUUGGACAGAGAGACAGGCAAUUAGACAGCCAGACAGGGAGAGAGGCCGAUAGGGCGGGAGAGAGGGAGAGAUUUAGGGAGGGAAGGAGAAAGAGAGAGAUGCAGGAGGGUAGGCAGGGGGCAACAUAUCACGUGGUGGAGUCCCUCACAGGAGGACGCUGUCCUCUAAUCACCAUGGUGCCUUGUGGGGAAUGGGGAAGUGGCUCUUCUUUACAACCUUGAUUUGCCUAUCUACACUAUCACACACACACACACCGGCCUAUCUAUCCGUCGAUCCUGCGGCUCUAAACAGGCCUUCGCGGUUGAACACAGGCGCUCUGCCACCAGUG
ensembl:lncRNA